rnacentral:ncRNA from 1 species
GGGCGAAGGGUACGAGCAAGGAUAGAUACCUAGCCUUAUUAUCAAUUUUUUCUUGAAUUACACAUGCAAGUCUCAGCACACCCGUGAGGACACCCUUAAACCCUUAACCAGACUAAGGAGCCGGCAUCAGGCGCAACAUCUGCCCACAACGCCUAGUCCCACCACGCCCCCAAGGGCAUUCAGCAGUGAUAAAUAUUACUAAUAAGCGACAGCUUGACCCAGUUAAAGAAGAUAGAGCCGGCUAACUCGGUGCCAGCCGCCGCGGCUAAACCGCACGGGCUCAAACUGAUAGUUAUCGGCGUUAAGCGUGAUUAAAGUCCCCCUACAAUUAGAGUAGAACCUAUACUUAGCUGUGAAAAGCUUGAACUAGGGAAAAAUCAUAAACGAAAGUUACUCUAAUAAAUCACUUGAAUACACGACAGCUAGGAAACAAACUGGGAUCAGAUACCCCACUAUGCCUAUCCGUAAAAUAUUAAUUCACACCCACCAACGCCAGGGUAUUACAAGCCUUAGCUUAAAACCCAAAGGACUUGACGGUGUCCCAUCCACCUAGAGGAGCCUGUUCCAUAAUCGAUAAUCCCCGCUAUACCUAACCACCCCUUGCCAAUCAGUCUGUAUACCUCCGUCGUAAGCUUACCAUAUGAAUGCCUACAGUAAGUUUAAUGGCCACAAGCACCAAUACGUCAGGUCAAGGUGCAGCUUAUGAGAUGGUGGACAAUGGGCUACAGUUUCUAUACUAGAACAAACGAAACGCUGCAUGAAACACAGCCACGAAGGCGGAUUUAGUAGUAAAAAGAAAAUAGUGUGUUCUUUUUAACUAGGCCCUGGGACGUGUACACACCCCCCGUGUUCCCCUCAUA